CUACUGGAAGUCAAAAUUGCACAUGAUCUGCUGUGUUCAAUAGUUGAGAUAUCAGAGGACGAACUUCUUCGCCAAGAUUUUGCUUAUCUUCCCAAAAUCAUCGCCGUUUUUGCAGAGAUACUAUGGGCUGAUGAUGAAACUUUAGCAACAGAGGAAACCGUCUACCGAGUGAUUAAACAGUUGAGGGAGUUUAAGAGCAGGUUGCCAUCAAACAUCUGGUCAUCUAUCCUGUCAACCUUGGAACCCUCUCGUCAGAAUGUUUUGCAACUUUCAUUAUCAUCUUAGUUCUCACUAUUUCUGGUAAUCAUGGAGUCCCUUGAGAUUGAGCAAGGAUUUGUCAUGGAUACUACUGUUUGAGCCGUAUUAAACGAUAUAAAGCAUUUGUUUAUUGGAACAUUCUUUUCUGUUAAAUCUUCUCUUCCUUAUUCUCGCUACAAACGAGUUUUUUA